UGGGGAAUAUUGCACAAUGGGCGAAAGCCUGAUGCAGCAACGCCGCGUGAGUGAUGAAGGUCUUCGGAUUGUAAAGCUCUGUCUUUUGGGACGAUAAUGACGGUACCAAAGGAGGAAGCCACGGCUAACUACGUGCCAGCAGCCGCGGUAAUACGUAGGUGGCGAGCGUUGUCCGGAUUUACUGGGCGUAAAGGGUGCGUAGGCGGAUGUUUAAGUGAGAUGUGAAAUACCCGGGCUUAACUUGGGUGCUGCAUUUCAAACUGGAUAUCUAGAGUGCAGGAGAGGAGAAUGGAAUUCCUAGUGUAGCGGUGAAAUGCGUAGAGAUUAGGAAGAACACCAGUGGCGAAGGCGAUUCUCUGGACUGUAACUGACGCUGAGGCACGAAAGCGUGGGUAGCAAACAGGAUUAGAUACCCUGGUGGUCCACGCCGUAAACGAUGAGUACUAGGUGUAGGAGGUAUCGACCCCUUCUGUGCCGCAGUAAACACAUUAAGUACUCCGCCUGGGAAGUACGAUCGCAAGAUUAAAACUCUAAAGUGAAUUGACGGGGGUCAUA
rnacentral:rRNA from 1 species